CAUCACGGCGUGGGCGCUCGCGUGAUGACGUGCACAUGUCGCAGCCGCAUCCCAUAUGCAUUCUGGCCUAGGCGUCCUCAGAGCAACACACACUAUGGUGGGGUUUUCUUGGGAGUGGUGAUUUAUAACGAUGUACAGUCUGCCUUCAAUCCGAUUGCAAAUGAAGGGUCUAUCUACUAACAAUGGCAUAAACACAGAAGCUGAAUGUAAGAGUGAUCUCCUCCUUUGGCAGAAAUCAGAUCUUCCUGAUUACAAUGGCUCGACAGUUUCCUGGAGGGUCUGGACCUUCUUCACAUCUAUCUAAUUCAAGUGGAGGCAGAGCCUGAAACAGUGCAGACGGACAGCA